rnacentral:tRNA from 1 species
ACCCUGCUGGUGGAACUGGUCUGCCGACUGCGAUAGCAGACACGCCGGUCUCAGAAGCCGGAGCCUUUUGGCGGUACAGGUGCAAAUCCUGUGCGGGGUACCA